GUGAGGAAUAUUGCGCAAUGGAGGCAACUCUGACGCAGCCAUGCCGCGUGCAGGAAGAAGGCGCUACGCGUUGUAAACUGCUUUUAACCGGGAAGAAACCCCAGGACGUGUCCUGGGUUGACGGUACCGGAGGAAUAAGCACCGGCUAACUUCGUGCCAGCAGCCGCGGUAAUACGGAGGAUCCAAGCGUUGUCCGGAUUUAUUGGGUUUAAAGGGUGCGUAGGCGGAUCUUUAAGUCAGUGGUGAAAUCCUGCAGCUUAACUGUAGACUUGCCAUUGAUACUGGCGCUCUUGAGUGCGCUUGAAGUGGGCGGAAUGUGCCGUGUAGCGGUGAAAUGCUUAGAUAUGGCACAGAACACCAAUUGCGAAGGCAGCUCACUAAGGCGAUACUGACGCUGAGGCACGAAAGCGUGGGGAUCGAACAGGAUUAGAAACCCUGGUAGUCC
rnacentral:rRNA from 1 species